AGAGAGUACAUUACUGCAUCAUUUUGACAAACUUGAAUACGAAGAGAUGAAUGCUCCUCCUCUCUGAAAAAUUUCGGGAAGAAAAGGGCAAGGAGAGAUUGUAUAACUUGUCUACUGCUACAAGGCUAAGAAGUAAUGUGAUCAGAAUUGAAAAGGUUUGAUGGAUUCCAGAGUCUGGGCUUUAACCAUAAGCUAUACUCCUUAAACAGAAAUUAAUUUUCUUACCUGUCCUUCAGGUGAGAAAGAAAGGGAUGGGAAACUACCAGAGAUGGCUUUUAAAAAUCCCCGUGAUGUGUCUAGACAUUCCAGUCAUAAUUUCAGAGGCUUCUAUUGCCCAGGCCUGUUAAAA